rnacentral:rRNA from 1 species
UGGGGAAUAUUGGACAAUGGGCGAAAGCCUGAUCCAGCAAUGCCGCGUGAGUGAUGAAGGCCUUAGGGUUGUAAAGCUCUUUUACCCGGGAAGAUAAUGACUGUACCGGGAGAAUAAGCCCCGGCUAACUCCGUGCCAGCAGCCGCGGUAAUACGGAGGGGGCUAGCGUUGUUCGGAAUUACUGGGCGUAAAGCGCACGUAGGCGGUUUCUCAAGUCAGAGGUGAAAGCCCGGAGCUCAACUCCGGAAUAGCCUUUGAAACUAGGAAACUUGAACGUCGGAGAGGUGAGUGGAAUUCCGAGUGUAGAGGUGAAAUUCGUAGAUAUUCGGAAGAACACCAGUGGCGAAGGCGGCUCACUGGACGACUGUUGACGCUGAGGUGCGAAAGCGUGGGGAGCAAACA